AUUGAACGCUGGUGGAAUGCUUUACACAUGCAAGUCGAACGGCAGCACGGACUUCGGUCUGGUGGCGAGUGGCGAACGGGUGAGUAAUGCAUCGGAACGUGCCCAGUCGUGGGGGAUAACGUAGUGAAAAUUACGCUAAUACCGCAUACGAUCUAUGGAUGAAAGCGGGGGAUCGCAAGACCUCGCGCGAUUGGAGCGGCCGAUAUCAGAUUAGGUAGUUGGUGGGGUAAAGGCCCACCAAGCCAACGAUCUGUAGCUGGUCUGAGAGGACGACCAGCCACACUGGAACUGAGACACGGUCCAGACUCCUACGGGAGGCAGCAGUGGGGAAUUUUGGACAAUGGGCGAAAGCCUGAUCCAGCCAUUCCGCGUGCAGGAUGAAGGCCCUCGGGUUGUAAACUGCUUUUGUACAGAACGAAAAGGUUUCUACUAAUACUAGGAGCUCAUGACGGUACUGUAAGAAUAAGCACCGGCUAACUACGAGCCAGCCGCCGCAGUAA
rnacentral:rRNA from 1 species